rnacentral:tRNA from 1 species
UCCCCUUUGGCUCAGACAGUAAAGAAUCUGCCUAUAAUGCAGGAGACCCAGGUUCGAUCCCUGGGUUGGGAA